UUGUAGACCAGGCUGGCCUUGAG
rnacentral:piRNA from 1 species